GGCGCUCAAAGGGAGAAAGACGCAAGGAUCGUUGCGCUCUGCUGACCCUGGAAUGAAAACUUGAGAAGGGCUUUCACUGCUGGGUUAAAUCGUAUCCGGGUGUGGAAGGCGAGCUUUGUGCAGAGAAGUGGGAGUAGUCCAUUUGCCGUUGUGGUCACAGGGGACUUUUUUCCUUUUAUUAAAUUGAAGAGUUGGCAUACAAAAUUAUAUUAGUUUCAUAUUUACAUCGUAGUGAUUCUACAAUUAUAUACAUUAUGAAAUGGUCACUGUGACGAGUGUAGUUACUGUCAACAUACCAAGAAAUAACAUUAUUAUUGGCUAUAUUCUCUAUGCUGCCUUUCAUCCCCGUGACUCAAUUUUCUGUAAUUUAAAGUUUGUGCCUCUUUAACUCCUUUACUAUUCAUAUUUUACCCAUCCCUCCACCUUCUCCCCUGUGGCAAUCACCAGUCCCUUCUCUGUGUUUGAGUCUAUUUCUAUUUUGUUAGUUUGUUUUAGAUUCCACGUGUAAGUGAAAUCAUGUGGUAUUUGUCUUCUUCUAUCUAAUUUCACUUAGCAUAAUACCCUCUUGGUCCAUCCAUGUUGUCACAAAUGCCAAGAUUUCAUUCUUUUUUAUGACUGAGUAAUAUUCCAUCAUGUAUAUGUACCACAUCUUCUUUAUCCAUUCACCCAUUGAUGGUUGAUGAUGGUUAGGUUGCUUCCAUAUCUUGACUAUUAUAAGUAAUGAGGCAAUAAACAUAGGGGUGCAUAGAUCUUUUUGAAUUAGUGACGUUGUUUUCUUCUGGGAAAUUUCCAGAAGUAGGAUUACUGAGUCUUAUGGUAUUUCUAUUUUGUUUUUUGUGAAACCUCCAUACUGCUUUCCAUAGUGGCUGCACCAGUUUACAUCCCUUUUCUCUACCACCUCACCAACACUUGUUUCUAGUUUUUCUUUUUUUGAUAUUAGUCAUUCUGACUGGUGUGAGGUGAUGUCUUAUUGUGAUUUUAUUUGCAUUUCCCUGAUGAUUAGUAAUGUCGAACAUCUUUACAUGUGUCUGUUGGCCAUCUGUAUGUCUUCUUCUGAAAAAUGUUUUAAAGUGGAUUAUUUGCCUUUUUUUGGGUAUUGAGUUGUAUGAGUUCUUCAUAAAAUUUGGAUAUUAGCCCUUUAUUGGAUAUAUCAUUUGCAAAUAUCUUUUCCCAUUCAGUAGACUGCCAUUUUGUUUGGUUGAUGGUUUCCUUUGCUGUACUUUAUUUUGCUUUUGUGUCCCUUGCCUGGGGAGACAUAUCCAAAAAAAAUUAUUAGUGCUGAUAUUCAAGAGGUUCCUGCCUCUAUUUUCUUCUAAGAGUUUUGUGGUUUCAGGUCCCAUAUUUAGGUCUUUAAUCCAUUUUGAGUUUAUUUUUGUGUGUGGUAUAAGACAGUGAUCCAAAUUCAUUCUGCAGGUAGCUGUCCAGUUUUCCCAACAACAUUUAUUGAAGAGGCUGUUUUUUCCCCCAGGGAACUUUUGAACUGUAAUAUAGAAGAGCAAGAGCCUGGAGGCAGGAAGACCAGGCAGAAAGGCACCGUCACAGCCCUGGCAGAACUAGUGGGGUAGAGUGAUGAUGGGAGGAAGCAUUGUGAGGGGAGGAGUGGGGAGCAGAUGGUGCUGCAAGAGGAAGAGCAGGUGUGGCCAUGCCACCUGUCUGAUAUUUACUAGGAGGAAACUGAGGCCCAGAGAGGAGAUCGGAGUUGCACAAGACCAUGCAACUAGUUUGGGUCAGGGAGGAGCCCAGGUCUUCAGGUGCAGAACCUAUGCUUCUUAACAGGCUGCUUCUCUCUUGCAACCUGGGAGGGUCACAGCCUGUGUUGACAGAGUCAAGCAGUUCCUCAUUCUGGAGUAAUAAAGAAACAAUGACGAUUUUGAAUGAACAGCCAUUUUCCUUAUUGUCUGUGUUCUUCCUCUGCAAGAUUAUGUUGAAAUAUUGUCCAAAGCAGUAAGCAUCUUAAAAAACCCCAUUCACAUCUAAUGACCAGAGUGAGUAACGGUCUUUGAUGUUACAGAACUCAUCUUAGGGAAGAUAAAAUGGGACACUGGGACCUUUGAUUCUCCUUAUCUUCAUAACAAAAUGUAUGUCUGCAGGGACAAGUGAGAGGCAUUGCAAUAGAGUGGGCAAAACUAGAAGUUGGGAAAUCUGGGUUUCUUGCACUGGACACCACCUUUGGUUCUCCUCAGCAAGUCUUGUCCACUGUCUGGAUCUGUUUCCUCAUCUAAACAAUGAGGGAAGUUCUCCAUCAUAUCCAGGGACCCUUUCCCCCAGUUUCUCUCCCCCUCCAUAAACUCCAGGUCUUUACUGAAAGCAGAAUUAGAGUGUGCUUGUGGAAGGAAAGAGGUAGAAAGUGUGGAAAUGCAUUUAAUUCAAUGAUUUUACACUCUAAGUUUAUUCUAUUUACUGAGUGUCAAUUUAUCUCAGGCACUUGGGCAUUUUCUUUGCUAAAAUGAGAAAGAAAAACCCACCAAUGAAUAAAUAAAAAUCAUGUCCCAACCUAAGGAACUGAGGUAGGGCAGAGACAUGGGAUAAGCAUCAUGAUUAAUUUUCCAAAAAAGCCGAGAUAUAAAUGGCAUAGUAAGAACAGGAGAGACUCCAUCUUAAAGCCAAGAUUCCAUUUUAAAAAGCAGAGUGUUGAGAAGUAAGAUUCCUAACAUAUUCUUUAGUAAUCAGCCAAUAGCUACCUUACAGCAGCACAAGCCUAAAUGAUAUGUCCCCUGCUUGAGGGUAACUACUAUCUUGGUGAGGAGCAGGAUCAAUAAAUUCCUCGGGUUAAGUUUAUCCUACAGAAUUAUCUAGAGAACUGACUGUGAAUGAAGACAUAGUAUCCUUCACUGGAGAGAGAUAUCAUGAGACCACAAGUCAAGCUGAAGCCCAACAAUCCCCCCUCUGCCCUUUGCCCCAUUCUUGAAAGCCUUAAAAGACAGAAUCCCCAGCCUUUCAGUGCACUUCAUCUCUGAGGUUGCCCGCACUCCCCUUUAGGUGUGUACUCCUAAAUAAAGCCUUCUCACUGCUCAACUUA